GACUCGUACCUCUCAUGAUUUUAACAAAUAUAGUUCUCAUUUUCCAACAUUUGAGCAAGCAUCUGGGCACCCUGACAUCAUUUUGAUUACCAAUGAGUUCUCACCUCUCUGAUCAUCAAAAGGAAAGUGGUAGUUUUGGUUGUAACGGAAAAUCUGUUAUGGCUGCUAACUCCAUUGUGCCGUGUGAGCAGAUUGCAGAACAAAAUAAUGAAACAUUUAAUCCUUCUCCUUCCCCGACUAAUGUGCAUGGAUUUAUUGGCAUGGUGGCUGGUGACAACAGUAAACAACCUCCAACUAGUGCAGCCCCUUCGAGAGCACUAACUGACUUUAGUUUCCAGGGUGGCAAGCAUCAUGGCACUACAGCUACAGCUGAUCUUCCUUCUCCAAAUGGCUUGCACUCCGUUGGCCAUUCUAACCAGAGGGAUGAUGUAUAUAAUGACAACGGCCAUCCUUUUCACAGGGGAAUUAGAUGUGAUGGCUGUGGAAUGUACCCAAUCAUUGGUCCAUAAUUCAGAUCUCUAAUGUGAAGGAAGACUGAUUUAUGUACCGUUUGUUUCUCUAAGACGAGUAAAGAAGCUGACUUUACCAGGAUUGACAUGGUUCAUUUAUCUCAUAAUACAGCAUAGUCUAAUAAUCUAUUUACUUAAUUUAAUUUCAUAAUAUAAGAUGCGCUAACUGCUUCUGCAUUCUUAAUUCCAGCAUUCUAGACAUCGGAUCUCCUCACCUCAUUUACAUGGUUUUGGUGUGAGGCGAUCAAGACCAAAAUUAGAAAGUUGCUUUAUCAGAAUAUAACUGUGUUAGAUGGAACCUUGAUGCCUCCUUCGACUCGUUUUACUAAGAUAUGGCGGAUGCAAAAUAAUGGUACUACCCGAUGGCCUUACAGAACAAAGCUUGUUUGGGCUGGUGGUGAUAAAUUUGCUAACAAGGACUACUGUCCUUGCAAAGAACUGCCAUUUUCAACUUACUAGAUGAGCCAUGAAGUUAGAAUCUCAAUCCAUGCAGAUUCCUUUUGAUGGAAUUUCUGUGAACAAGGAAGUUGAUGUUGCAGUUGAUCUCACCUCACCAGCAGUGCCUUGCCUGGUAGGUAUUUUUCAUAUUGGAGAUUGGCGUCACCUUUUGGUCAAAUGCUUGGACAACGAGUUUGGGUUCAUAUUGAGAUGGAUAUCUCUCAACCAAACUCUGCUACUGGAGGUCUCAAUCCUGAUUUGAAUUUGCCACCUGAAAACACUAGUCGAGGUUGGCUUGGAACAAUAGAUGCUGAACCCUUUCAUAAUGUUGCUCCUAAACCCAUUUCCAGCAACACUUCAGGUGAACUGGUUAAGCCAUUUGUCAAUCAAAUCCCAAAUUGAUGGUUGUCAUCCUCUUACCAUUAAGGGAACCGCACAGCCUGCAUCUAUGGUGCUUCCUCCUGUAUCAUAUCCUAACAUUAAUUCGACAGUGUCUGAAUGGGUUUCUCAGAGAGGGCGAGGAACAAGGAACCACUAAUAAAUAGCGGUGGCAGCGUUAAGCAAGUUUAAUGGGAUCUUCUUGUUGGAGACAAAGCUUCUUAUUUCCAAACAAGUCUGUAAAUAAUUAUGUACAACCACGUGAUGAUGAUACUGUUUCUUCCCUGGAUAGAUUUUUUACUGUUUUCUGCUUCAGUACUACACUGGCCGCAACUUAUGUAUUAUCUGCAAUAAUAUUUUGGAGCAUUAAACAGAUCCUUUAUCUUUCUUUUGCA